UUUCCGUAGGUGAACCUGCGGAAGGAUCAUUAUCGAGACUGUGUAUAUAUAUAUGUACACAAUCACAACUUUCCUGCGAACUGUUGUUGUAUUUCUACAACCCCAAUUUUUAUUGUACACACUCACACACAAGCUGAUUGAAUGCGAUCACGAAUCGAAUUCAAACAAAUACUAAUCGAUAACAACUUUUAACAACGGAUAUCUUGGCUCUC
rnacentral:misc_RNA from 1 species